CACAAAUAGUGUCAUAAACUUAUUCCUUAUUCCCAUUAGAAACUUUUUAAAAUUGAUUCACUUUGGUAACAGGAAAGAACUGGAUUUUUUUUAUACCAUUUUUAAAAUUGCCAUUGUUACCACAUUUAACAAUUGUUUGAAUUACAGACAACAGUUCCUAGAUCCUCAAUGUGUGUUCUUCGAUUUGUGUUAUUAAAAUACCGGG
rnacentral:lncRNA from 1 species